CCAACCUCCUCUCAGCCUGAAAGGACAGCAGGGUCUCUCAUCCCACGGGAAGCAGCUCCUGGGUGUGUCCGUUCAAAGAGCAUCAGCUCAGAGGAUGCCUGUGGACAGUACCUAGGCUCACCAGAUGCCAGGGGAUCGCUGUCUGGCUAAUUGAAUUGGCUGGUUAGUUUGGAACUUGCUCUCUGGCCUCCUCCAAGCCACCCACCAUCUCCUCCUCAUCUAGGAACUGACCCCAGCUCAGCUGUAGUCAUCUCAACCGUGGGCCCACAGCCUUUAUGUUUUGUGUUCUCGUUUGGUUUUGCACAUUAGUCACAGAGCAUCCUGGACUCUCAGGAAGGAAAGCAAACUGAGCAGGGCUACAUGAUGGGGGUGGAACUCACCUGAGAGACCGGGAUAUUUUCAUCUUGAUUAAGGCUUUUUUCUUUUACACAGAAUCUCAGGUCAUCUCAACCCACUCUUCUGCCCUGUGCAGUAUUGGGGAAGGGAGUUACCCAUCUGAUUUUUAGGUAAGAGGACACUGUUACUCAAGAUGAGGGUUUUGGAUUUUCCUGGGAAAUGGUGGAUCGAACCCCUGGAACUUGGAGUUGGUCAAUGGUAGAGUUCCAGCUGCUUGCCACCACCUCAGAGGAGAUGAAGCUAGAGGAUGGAGGUGGUGAGAGAAGCUGGGCACAAGGGUGCCUACCAAUGAUGUGUGAAGAGUAACAAGAGAGAAAAAUGAAGAAAUGUCCUGUAUCAAGAUCAAGAGUUCUUUGUCACCAGUCACAAUGAACACAGU